UACGUAGGGGGCAAGCGUUGUCCGGAAUCAUUGGGCGUAAAGCGCGUGUAGGCGGCUCGAUAAGUCUGCUGUGAAAGUCCAGGGCUCAACCCUGGGAUGCCGGGUGGAUACUGUCGAGCUCGAGUCCGGAAGAGGCGAGUGGAAUCCUGGUGUAGCGGUGAAAUGCGCAGAUAUCAGGAGGAACACCGAUGGCGAAGGCAGCUCGCUGGGACGUGACUGACGCUGAGACGCGAAAGCGUGGGGAGCAAACAGG
rnacentral:rRNA from 1 species